rnacentral:rRNA from 1 species
UACGGGGGGAGCAAGCGUUGUUCGGAAUCACUGGGCGUAAAGGGAGUCUAGGCGGUUUGGUAAGUGGGAUGUGAAAUCCCCGGGCUCACCCCGGGACCUGCAUCCCAAACUGCUGAGCUUGAGUACAGGAGAGGGUGGGGGAAUUCCAGGUGUAGCGGUGAAAUGCGUAGAUAUCAGGAGGAACACCGAUGGCGAAGGCAGGUCUCUGGGCCACUACUGACGCUGAGAAGCGAAAGCGUGGGGAGCGAACAGG